UUAAGUUAUUAAGGGCGCACGGUGGAUGCCUUGGCACUAGAAGCCGAUGAAGGACGUUACUAACGACGAUAUGCUUUGGGGAGCUGUAAGUAAGCUUUGAUCCAGAGAUUUCCGAAUGGGGAAACCCAGCAUGAGUUAUGUCAUGUUAUCGAUAUGUGAAUACAUAGCAUAUCAGAAGGCACACCCGGAGAACUGAAACAUCUUAGUACCCGGAGGAAGAGAAAGAAAAUUCGAUUCCCUUAGUAGCGGCGAGCGAAACGGGAAGAGCCCAAACCAACAAGCUUGCUUGUUGGGGUUGUAGGACACUCUAUACGGAGUUACAAAGGACGACAUUAGACGAAUCAUCUGGAAAGAUGAAUCAAAGAAGGUAAUAAUCCUGUAGUCGAAAAUGUUGUCUCUCUUGAGUGGAUCCUGAGUACGACGGAGCACGUGAAAUUCCGUCGGAAUCUGGGAGGACCAUCUCCUAAGGCUAAAUACUCUCUAGUGACCGAUAGUGAACCAGUACCGUGAGGGAAAGGUGAAAAGCACCCCGGAAGGGGAGUGAAAUAGAACCUGAAACCGUGUGCUUACAAGUAGUCAGAGCCCGUUAAUGGGUGAUGGCGUGCCUUUUGUAGAAUGAACCGGCGAGUUACGAUUUGAUGCAAGGUUAAGCAGUAAAUGUGGAGCCGUAGCGAAAGCGAGUCUGAAUAGGGCGUUUAGUAUUUGGUCGUAGACCCGAAACCAGGUGAUCUACCCUUGGUCAGGUUGAAGUUCAGGUAACACUGAAUGGAGGACCGAACCGACUUACGUUGAAAAGUGAGCGGAUGAACUGAGGGUAGCGGAGAAAUUCCAAUCGAACCUGGAGAUAGCUGGUUCUCUCCGAAAUAGCUUUAGGGCUAGCCUCAAGUGAUGAUUAUUGGAGGUAGAGCACUGUUUGGACGAGGGGCCCCUCUCGGGUUACCGAAUUCAGACAAACUCCGAAUGCCAAUUAAUUUAACUUGGGAGUCAGAACAUGGGUGAUAAGGUCCGUGUUCGAAAGGGAAACAGCCCAGACCACCAGCUAAGGUCCCAAAAUAUAUGUUAAGUGGAAAAGGAUGUGGCGUUGCCCAGACAACUAGGAUGUUGGCUUAGAAGCAGCCAUCAUUUAAAGAGUGCGUAAUAGCUCACUAGUCGAGUGACACUGCGCCGAAAAUGUACCGGGGCUAAACAUAUUACCGAAGCUGUGGAUUGUCCUUUGGACAAUGGUAGGAGAGCGUUCUAAGGGCGUUGAAGCAUGAUCGUAAGGACAUGUGGAGCGCUUAGAAGUGAGAAUGCCGGUGUGAGUAGCGAAAGACGGGUGAGAAUCCCGUCCACCGAUUGACUAAGGUUUCCAGAGGAAGGCUCGUCCGCUCUGGGUUAGUCGGGUCCUAAGCUGAGGCCGACAGGCGUAGGCGAUGGAUAACAGGUUGAUAUUCCUGUACCACCUAUAAUCGUUUUAAUCGAUGGGGGGACGCAGUAGGAUAGGCGAAGCGUGCGAUUGGAUUGCACGUCUAAGCAGUAAGGCUGAGUAUUAGGCAAAUCCGGUACUCGUUAAGGCUGAGCUGUGAUGGGGAGAAGACAUUGUGUCUUCGAGUCGUUGAUUUCACACUGCCGAGAAAAGCCUCUAGAUAGAAAAUAGGUGCCCGUACCGCAAACCGACACAGGUAGUCAAGAUGAGAAUUCUAAGGUGAGCGAGCGAACUCUCGUUAAGGAACUCGGCAAAAUGACCCCGUAACUUCGGGAGAAGGGGUGCUCUUUAGGGUUAACGCCCAGAAGAGCCGCAGUGAAUAGGCCCAAGCGACUGUUUAUCAAAAACACAGGUCUCUGCUAAACCGUAAGGUGAUGUAUAGGGGCUGACGCCUGCCCGGUGCUGGAAGGUUAAGAGGAGUGGUUAGCUUCUGCGAAGCUACGAAUCGAAGCCCCAGUAAACGGCGGCCGUAACUAUAACGGUCCUAAGGUAGCGAAAUUCCUUGUCGGGUAAGUUCCGACCCGCACGAAAGGCGUAACGAUUUGGGCACUGUCUCAACGAGAGACUCGGUGAAAUCAUAGUACCUGUGAAGAUGCAGGUUACCCGCGACAGGACGGAAAGACCCCGUGGAGCUUUACUGUAGCCUGAUAUUGAAAUUCGGCACAGCUUGUACAGGAUAGGUAGGAGCCUUUGAAACGUGAGCGCUAGCUUACGUGGAGGCGCUGGUGGGAUACUACCCUAGCUGUGUUGGCUUUCUAACCCGCACCACUUAUCGUGGUGGGAGACAGUGUCAGGCGGGCAGUUUGACUGGGGCGGUCGCCUCCUAAAAGGUAACGGAGGCGCUCAAAGGUUCCCUCAGAAUGGUUGGAAAUCAUUCAUAGAGUGUAAAGGCAUAAGGGAGCUUGACUGCGAGACCUACAAGUCGAGCAGGGUCGAAAGACGGACUUAGUGAUCCGGUGGUUCCGCAUGGAAGGGCCAUCGCUCAACGGAUAAAAGCUACCCCGGGGAUAACAGGCUUAUCUCCCCCAAGAGUUCACAUCGACGGGGAGGUUUGGCACCUCGAUGUCGGCUCAUCGCAUCCUGGGGGCUGUAGUCGGUCCCAAGGGUUGGGCUGUUCGCCCAUUAAAGCGGUACGCGAGCUGGGUUCAGAACGUCGUGAGACAGUUCGGUCCCUAUCCGUCGUGGGCGUAGGAAAUUUGAGAGGAGCUGUCCUUAGUACGAGAGGACCGGGAUGGACAUACCUCUGGUGUACCAGUUGUCGUGCCAACGGCAUAGCUGGGUAGCUAUGUGUGGACGGGAUAAGUGCUGAAAGCAUCUAAGCAUGAAGCCCCCCUCAAGAUGAGAUUUCCCAACUUCGGUUAUAAGAUCCCUCAAAGAUGAUGAGGUUAAUAGGUUCGAGGUGGAAGCAUGGUGACAUGUGGAGCUGACGAAUACUAAUCGAUCGAAGACUUAAUCAA
rnacentral:rRNA from 1 species